UGCAUGUAUCAGCAGCUUGCGCUGAAGAUGAAUUGGGAUAAUCAGAACAGGCAUCCCACUGGAUUGAGUUAUUGGAACAUUGCUGCAUCUGACUGAGGCCUCAGGAGGAUUUAUAUCUCCAAGGUUUAACUAUGCUCCAAGAAGAGAGGAGUGAAAAUGUGCAAGAGAAACAGCUGUGCAGACACCCAGUUUUCCAUCAGAAGAGGAAGAGAUGGGGAAGAAAAGAAGAAAAGACCUUAACUUUGGUGCUGGAAUAAGAUGACCCCACUGUGCUGAUUCUUUCAAGAUUUCUUGAGAAUUGUCUGAAGCAUUUACAGCAAAACCAGUGUUGAACCCCCUUUGUGGAGCACUUGCAAGCAGCCAUAUGUGGAGACAAAAAAUGCAGAGAUGCAAAUCUAUGCUCAUAGAAACUUUUUUAUAUUGGAUGAACUGAUCUAAGACUUGAUUUUAAACUAUAAUGUAAAAUUUGCCUGUCCUUAUAGCAUCUUCCAAGUUCUGUAUACACUGGAGGCUCAAGCAUUUUGCUACUUUAGCAGCAUGCAAAGGCAGCAUGGGUGAACCAAAUGACAGUGUGCCAUGAUCAUUGCUGCCUCAUGGAAGCUGUUGCUGAAGUACAUGGUGCAGUACUUCCUGGCAAUACCACAAAUGGCUCCUGUCACCACUGGUGAUAAGGAGCUCUUGUGACAUUUAGAUAUUUUGUUGCCUUUUUUUAAAAAUUAUUUUAUUACACUUUCUGUUUACACUUUGAUAGCUUUUCUAAAGCAAAUAAUAAACAGAGAUGUCUUUUGCACUACAUACAUAAAAGGAUAGGGCUUGCCUGCUGUAUGUUCUAGUCUCACAGGACUCAGAUCAGAGAGCUGGCUUAAUUCACUGUCAUUUAAAACCAGAUGUUUUUUUCUGGCACAUUGUCUUGCAAAAGCAGCAAUGAAAUCCAUCAGAUGGUACUCAGGGAAGCUCUAGUGCAUUAAAUUAAAUACCACAAAGUAAGAACAAUGAAGAACUGAAAAUAAAUCCUAAAAAAGAAAUACGCAUAAACAAGAGACAUUUUCCUCAACCCUCUACUAAGUGAUAAGUUCAAAGGAGGUCUUUAAUACAACUUUGCCAACAAGAUGGAAAGCUAUUUCCAAAGUGAACUUUGUAUUGGUUCUGUAUGGCUGCUAAACUACUGAACUGAAAUUUAAAGCUGUUUGCCCCAGAUCUGUACCUGGCCCCUCUAUAGAGGGCCAUGUUCUAUUCUCUAGAUAAAACAGGAAAAAGUAGAUCAGUGUAAAUAUAGGGGGGAUGGG